UGCUGGAGGUAUCAGAAGUGCGAAUGCUGACAUAAGUAACGAUAAAGCGGGUGAAAAGCCCGCUCGCCGGAAGACCAAGGGUUCCUGUCCAACGUUAAUCGGGGCAGGGUGAGUCGACCCCUAAGGCGAGGCCGAAAGGCGUAGUCGAUGGGAAACGGGUUAAUAUUCCCGUACUUGGUGUUACUGCGAAGGGGGGACGGAGAAGGCUAUGUUGGCCGGGCGACGGUUGUCCCGGUUUAAGCGUGUAGGUGUGUGUUCCAGGUAAAUCCGGUUCACUUUAACACUGAGGCGUGACGACGAGGCACUACGGUGCUGAAGCAACAAAUGCCCUGCUUCCAGGAAAAGCCUCUAAGCAUCAGGUAACAUCAAAUCGUACCCCAAACCGACACAGGUGGUCAGGUAGAGAAUACCAAGGCGCUUGAGAGAACUCGGGUGAAGGAACUAGGCAAAAUGGUGCCGUAACUUCGGGAGAAGGCACGCUGACACGUAGGUGAAGUGAUUUACUCAUGGAGCUGAAGUCAGUCGAAGAUACCAGCUGGCUGCAACUGUUUAUUAAAAACACAGCACUGUGCAAACACGAAAGUGGACGUAUACGGUGUGACGCCUGCCCGGUGCCGGAAGGUUAAUUGAUGGGGUCAGCGCAAGCGAAGCUCCUGAUCGAAGCCCCGGUAAACGGCGGCCGUAACUAUAACGGUCCUAAGGUAGCGAAAUUCCUUGUCGGGUAAGUUCCGACCUGCACGAAUGGCGUAAUGAUGGCCAGGCUGUCUCCACCCGAGACUCAGUGAAAUUGAACUCGCUGUGAAGAUGCAGUGUACCCGCGGCAAGACGGAAAGACCCCGUGAACCUUUACUAUAGCUUGACACUGAACAUUGAGCCUUGAUGUGUAGGAUAGGUGGGAGGCUUUGAAGCGUGGACGCCAGUCUGCGUGGAGCCGACCUUGAAAUACCACCCUUUAAUGUUUGAUGUUCUAACGUGGACCCGUGAUCCGGGUUGCGGACAGUGUCUGGUGGGUAGUUUGACUGGGGCGGUCUCCUCCUAAAGAGUAACGGAGGAGCACGAAGGUUGGCUAAUCCUGGUCGGACAUCAGGAGGUUAGUGCAAUGGCAUAAGCCAGCUUGACUGCGAGCGUGACGGCGCGAGCAGGUGCGAAAGCAGGUCAUAGUGAUCCGGUGGUUCUGAAUGGAAGGGCCAUCGCUCAACGGAUAAAAGGUACUCCGGGGAUAACAGGCUGAUACCGCCCAAGAGUUCAUAUCGACGGCGGUGUUUGGCACCUCGAUGUCGGCUCAUCACAUCCUGGGGCUGAAGUAGGUCCCAAGGGUAUGGCUGUUCGCCAUUUAAAGUGGUACGCGAGCUGGGUUUAGAACGUCGUGAGACAGUUCGGUCCCUAUCUGCCGUGGGCGCUGGAGAACUGAGGGGGGCUGCUCCUAGUACGAGAGGACCGGAGUGGACGCAUCACUGGUGUUCGGGUUGUCAUGCCAAUGGCACUGCCCGGUAGCUAAAUGCGGAAGAGAUAAGUGCUGAAAGCAUCUAAGCACGAAACUUGCCCCGAGAUGAGUUCUCCCUGAGACUUAGAGUCUCCUGAAGGAACGUUGAAGACGACGACGUUGAUAGGCCGGGUGUGUAAGCGCAGCGAUGCGUUGAGCUAACCGGUACUAAUGAACCGUGAGGCUUAACCUUACAACGCCGAAG
rnacentral:rRNA from 1 species